rnacentral:rRNA from 1 species
GACGAACGCUGGCGGCGUGCUUAACACAUGCAAGUCGAACGGAAAGGCCCUGCUUUUGUGGGGUGCUCGAGUGGCGAACGGGUGAGUAACACGUGAGUAACCUGCCCUUGACUUUGGGAUAACUUCAGGAAACUGGGGCUAAUACCGGAUAGGAGCUCCUGCUGCAUGGUGGGGGUUGGAAAGUUUCGGCGGUUGGGGAUGGACUCGCGGCUUAUCAGCUUGUUGGUGGGGUAGUGGCUUACCAAGGCUUUGACGGGUAGCCGGCCUGAGAGGGUGACCGGCCACAUUGGGACUGAGAUACGGCCCAGACUCCUACGGGAGGCAGCAGUGGGGAAUAUUGCACAAUGGGCGGAAGCCUGAUGCAGCAACGCCGCGUGCGGGAUGACGGCCUUCGGGUUGUAAACCGCUUUCGCCUGUGACGAAGCGUGAGUGACGGUAAUGGGUAAAGAAGCACCGGCUAACUACGUGCCAGCAGCCGCGGUGAUACGUAGGGUGCGAGCGUUGUCCGGAUUUAUUGGGCGUAAAGGGCUCAUAGGUGGUUGAUCGCGUCGGAAGUGUAAUCUUGGGGCUUAACCCUGAGCGUGCUUUCGAUACGGGUUGACUUGAGGAAGGUAGGGGAGAAUGGAAUUCCUGGUGGAGCGGUGGAAUGCGCAGAUAUCAGGAGGAACACCAGUGGCGAAGGCGGUUCUCUGGGCCUUUCCUGACGCUGAGGAGCGAAAGCGUGGGGAGCGAACAGGCUUAGAUACCCUGGUAGUCCACGCUGUAAACGGUGGGUACUAGGUGUGGGGUCCAUUCCACGGGUUCCGUGCCGUAGCUAACGCUUUAAGUACCCCGCCUGGGGAGUACGGCCGCAAGGCUAAAACUCAAAGGAAUUGACGGGGCCCCGCACAAGCGGCGGAGCAUGCGGAUUAAUUCGAUGCAACGCGUAGAACCUUACCUGGGUUUGACAUGGAUCGGGAGCGCUCAGAGAUGGGUGUGCCUCUUUUGGGGUCGGUUCACAGGUGGUGCAUGGCUGUCGUCAGCUCGUGUCGUGAGAUGUUGGGUUAAGUCCCGCAACGAGCGCAACCCUUGUUCACUGUUGCCAGCACGUUAUGGUGGGGACUCAGUGGAGACCGCCGGGGUCAACUCGGAGGAAGGUGGGGAUGACGUCAAGUCAUCAUGCCCCUUAUGUCCAGGGCUUCACGCAUGCUACAAUGGCUGGUACAGAGAGUGGCGAGCCUGUGAGGGUGAGCGAAUCUCGGAAAGCCGGUCUCAGUUCGGAUUGGGGUCUGCAACUCGACCUCAUGAAGUCGGAGUCGCUAGUAAUCGCAGAUCAGCAACGCUGCGGUGAAUACGUUCCCGGGGCU